UUGAAUAUGUCCAUGAACCGUGCAUAAUGCCUAGCAUUGUCCUUCUUUGAUGGAGCAUGCGGAUAAGGUAAAUGUUGGGUUGGAAUGACGCUCACACCUUUCUCUCCUUUCUUCUUCUUUCUUGGUUCGACAUCCUUUUUCACCUCCAAUUCAGGCUGCUGCUCUGUUGGCAAAUCCUGCUCUUUUCGUGGCGCGAAGGGGGAUCGCGACGCGAACUGAAGAGUUCCAGCCACUUUCUCCCUUCCAUCAACCACAUCCUCUUUU
rnacentral:lncRNA from 1 species